GCGGGUGUAGCUCAGCGGCAGAGCGUCACGUUGCCAACGUGAAUGUCGGCGGUUCGAAUCCGCUCACCCGCU
rnacentral:tRNA from 1 species